UACGGAGGGUGCAAGCAUUGAUCGGAAUUACUGGGCGUAAAGGGCGCGUAGGCGGUUAUGUAAGUCAGAUGUGAAAUUCCGGGGCUCAACCCCCGGAGCUGCAUUUGAAACUGCAUGGCUAGAGUGUAGUUAGGGUAAACGGAAUUCCACGUGUAGCGGUGAAAUGCGUAGAUAUGUGGAAGAACACCGGUGGUGAAGACGGUUUACUGGGCUAUAACUGACGCUGAGGCGCGAAAGCAUGGGGGAGCAAACAGG
rnacentral:rRNA from 1 species